UCCGUCGGGUGCAAGAGUUGUCCGGAUUUAUUGGGUUUAAAGGGUGCGUAGAUGGCUGAUUAAGUCAUGGGUGAAAGCCCGCAGCUCAACUGUGGAAUUGCCUGUGAUACUGAUUAGCCUGAGUGCGGUUGAGGCAGCUGGAAUUGGUGGUGUAGCGGUGAAAUGCAUAGAUACCACCAGGAACACCGAUUGCGAAGGCAGGUUGCUAAGCCGUAACUGACACUGAGGCACGAAAGCGUGGGGAGCAAACAGG
rnacentral:rRNA from 1 species